rnacentral:lncRNA from 1 species
UCAAUUCAGCUCCUGUCUGUCCCAGUGUCCUGAAGCUGCUGGAGUGGUUUGACCAUCCCGGCCGCUACGUCCUGAUCCUGGAACGGCCGGAUCCUUGCCAGGCAUCUGUACAGAGCACGAGGUUAUUGUCAUCAUUAGCAGGUGUAAUGUACUGUGGUUCAUCUGGCUGCAGGUGGCCAUCAAGUACGUGACUAAAGACGAGGGGCACGAGGACAUGGAAGUUGAAGGUCAGGGUCUGCUGCCGCUGGAGGUCGCGUUGAUGACCCGGGUCAGUUCAGCUCCUGUCUGUCCCAGUGUCCUGAAGCUGCUGGAGUGGUUUGACCAUCCCGGCCGCUACGUCCUGAUCCUGGAACGGCCGGAUCCUUGCCAGGAUCUCCACAGAAUUAUGAGUCACCUGUCUGCAGACUGCUGUCAGUUGAUUAGAUGGUGUCUUAGAGCAGCAGCGGACGAGCGUCCCAGCUUACAGGACAUUGAACAGCAUCCCUGGUUACGCUCCACAGGGUGAGCAGGAGUGCAGGACACAGGAGCAGCAGAGACAGCUGGACACCUGCAGUGAGGACGAGUGGACAGCAGGCGGUGUUCAUGUGUUGUGUAAUGCUGUGCUUCACUCUGGAGUGUGACUGAGGGCUCUGUGUGGAUGCUGGAGGAGCUGGACACGCAGCGCCGGCUCAAACCAGAGUCCUGAUGCUACAGAGAUCCGCUCCAGACUGAGCCUAAACCAGCAUGCAGCUGUUCUAAUAAGAAGAACAUCACAACCUUAGGAAUUAUUUAAUUAGUUAUCAUCUUUAGUUAACUGAAACCUAUAGAAAAUAUUUCUGCUACUUGAAAUAAAAUAAACUUUAACUUAAUCUAAAAAUCUAAAUCUUAAUAAAAACUAUAAUAGCAUCUCAUUGUUACAGCUUAUUAAAAAUAAAGAUGAAAGAAGAGGAUCUGCUGCCGAAGAAGUCAGAACAAUGUUAAUCAUAUUCAUUUUGCGUUAGCAUGAAGCUGCAGUUUCACAAUACAUGAAUUACAAUUACGAGUAACAGUAAAAUGCUGCAAAUAUUUUUUUUCUUACGCUUUAAAUGCAUAUUUAAUUUACGCUUACCGUCUUGUGUACACUUCCACAACUCUUACCCUGCGUAUGCAAAUCUUUUAGGCAUUGUUUAACAUUCACAAAUGAUUCAUUGAUGGCACCACAUUCUCAUUAAAGCCCCUUUGAGAAUAUGUAACAUUUUCAACAUUAUUAAAAUAAGAAGAAAAACAACUACAUGAAAAAUGAAGCUUUGUUCUAUGGAUGUUAUCUUCACACAGAACUUACCUCAUUGACGAACUCUUUGCCCUGGUCAGUUAAGACCCUUUUAGGGGCUUCAAACAUGUGCACAAACUUGAUCAAGCACUCAGCGACCUCUUUGGUGGAUUUGGACCUCAAAGGAUAAGCCUGGGGCCACUUCGUGAGGUAAUCGAUGAUCACACAAAUGAGAUCCAUGCCCAACAGCUCCAAUGGCUGUUUAACCUAGAGUUAAAAAAUUAAAAGUUAUUGUUUUUCUUGUUUUCUGUUAACCUGUUUUUUUUCUUUCUCCUGUUUCAUUGGUUUCCUGUGUUUCUAAG